rnacentral:piRNA from 1 species
UACAUCGAUGGGUAUAUUAUGCCAGAUUA